rnacentral:tRNA from 1 species
GUGCCUGUAGCUCAGCUGGAUAGAGUACAUCCCUCCGAAGGAUGGGGCCGUGAGUUCAAAUCUCACCAGGCACA